UACAGAGGUCUCAAGCGUUGUUCGGAUUCAUUGGGCGUAAAGGGCGUGCAGGCGGUCUGUUAAGUUCAGGGUGAAAGCUCCCGGCUCAACUGGGAGAGGUCCUUGGAUACUGGCAGACUUGAGGGAGGUAGAGGAGAGUGGAAUUCCCGGUGUAGUGGUGAUAUGCGUAGAUAUCGGGAGGAACACCAGUGGCGAAGGCGGCUCUCUGGGCCUUUCCUGACGCUGAGACGCGAAAGCGUGGGGAGCGAACCGG
rnacentral:rRNA from 1 species